CUUGUGAAGAUUCAACGAAGGGCCUUUUUGAGUCUGAAAUGAGCAAAUUCACAUUCCCAGAAUUAAAAGUGGAUUCAAUAGCUAUCAAAGGGUUGUACGUCAUGAAUGUUACAAUUCUUCCAAUAAAGGCCAAGUGCGUCCCUGGAGUUGGGGUCAAGGUGUAUUUUUCUGCUCUUCUGAGUAUCUUUGGUACUUGGUGAGUGUUGGCUGAAGGCUCUUGUGGAGUUCAAAUUCCUUUCAACAGCAUAAGAGAAGUAUAAGGAAGGCUUCUAUGUGGGCAAGAGGAGGGAGAGGAAGUAAGGUGUGUGUGUGUGUGGCUUUUUUUUUUUUUUUUGGGUCAAGACACUACAGAAACAAAACACUAUUUCUAGGUCCAGUGCAACCACACAUGCUGCGUAGUUUUUAUUGGAGACUGAGGUUCCCCAAAAGGAUUGUUCAGAGCGUUACUGCCCUUCCCAGAGUCUGAUGGUAGUUCUUGAGGGAGGUGGGUUUUAAUUUGAAUAUACUUCUGUUCACCUACAGAACUAUAGAAAGCAGAUGCCAGGAACUGUGAUGAUGCAUAGUACAUAUUCAGUGUGACUUUGUCUCUACAGUGGAAAUGUCCUUGUGCCUGGUGUGGUCACUGGCACUGUAAGGUUAAACUGCAGUGCACUGAUUCUGCUGGCAAACUACUCACCAGACAACAGUUCUGUCGGUGUCAGGGACUACACAUGUGAUGCAAGUCUGAUAGAUGUCAAAAUAAGCUUGAGCAAUGUUGACGUAAGCGUGAAAGCCGCAUUAAGAAACAACGUCCUGUUUGAGUUAAAAAACAAGACACCUAAAAUACUUUCGAGUUGCUUUUCCAUUGGGCACAGGAAGUUACUGCAUCGUAUAAAUUCUGUAAUUGCAUUUGAGACAGGAAAAAUCAUAUAUGUGCCCAGGCCCCCCAAAGUACAUAACUACUCCAUUGAAAUACCUCUGCAGACUCAAUAUGAGACCAGUGAUGGGAAGAGAAUUCCCAUUCCAUCUCUGCCAGCCAGCCCUGAGGUAAUGCUGGCAGCAAAUGGCACAACUGAAACCAUUGUGGAGAAUACAUUUACCACUAUUCUCUCCCGGAUAGUCUUUGAGAAACCCAAGACCAUCCCUUGCACCCCUGAAACAUUCCCCGAGACUCGUGCUCUUGAGGUGGCCCUCAACAAUACAAUUGUGUCUAAGUGCCCAGUGUGCUCAUCAUCUCCUUUCUCGCUUGUCGUCAUUGUUGAAGUGGUCACUCCUUUGAAGGUCCAUCUGGAUGUGAACUUGUGCACCAUGAAUAUUUCUCUUAACCUGGAGAUAAUGAGUAAAAAAGGAAAUGAGAGCUUGUUGGUUCUUGCUGUCCUGGAGGCUGUAAGUGCUGGGAACAAAGCUGUUUAA
ensembl:lncRNA